rnacentral:rRNA from 1 species
AUGCAAGAGGGGAGGCCCGUUUCCUAUUUCAGCAGAACUAUUGGACCAAAAGCAGCAGCCAUGUCUACAUAUGACAAGGAAGCUUUAGCAAUUAUUGAAGUAGUAAAGAAGUGGAAGCACUACUUAGCAACUUCUCUAGUGAUUAGAACAGACCGAGAGAGCCUCAAAUACAUUCAGGAGCAAAAGUUGACUGAAGGCAUACAACAUAAAUUACUGCUCAAGCUUUUGGGAUACAAUUUCACAGUAGAAUACAAGAAGGGGAAAGAAAAUAAAGCUGCUGAUGCUUUAUCCAGAGUCAAAUACAUGGUGUCCAUGCUCACUGUGAGUACCAACACUCCUACUUGGAUAAAAGAGGUAGUCAAGAGCUACAAGUCUGACACAAGGGUGCAGGAACUCAUAGCUGAAUGUGCUGUCAGUAAAGACAGUCCAAGCUCUUACUCCUACAAAAAUGGCAUAUUGAGAUUCCAUAACAAAGUUGUGGUUGGCACAUCAACUUCCCUCAGAACAGACAUUUUAAAAACCUUUCAUGCUUCGGAAUUAGGAGCCCAUUCUGGUGAAAGAGCCACCUACCAACGGGUCAAACUUGUCUUUCAUUGGCAAGGCCUCAAACAAGAUGUAAUUACCUUUGUCAAGGAAUGCCCAGUCUGUCAGCUCAACAAAGCAGAGCACUCCCCUUACCCUGGUCUCCUAAAACCCCUGCCUGUUCCUGAUUUCGCAUGGGCACACAUCAGCAUGGACUUUGUGGAAGGAUUGCCCCUAUCUGAGAACAAAAGGUUCACCAAGUAUCCACACUUUAUAGCCAUGAAACACCCCAUCACAGUGCAAUCUGUGGCAAGAGCCUUCUCUGAUACAGUUUUCAAGUUGCAUGGCAUGCCCUUGGUCAUUGUAACUGACAGGGAUAAAAUCUUCACUAGUCACUUGUGGCAGAAAUUGUUCAAGUCCCUCAAGAUCAAGCUGCACAUGAGCACAAGCUACCACCCACAAUCGUAUGGACAAACGGAAAGAGUAAACCAAUGCCUGGAAAAUUAUCUCAGAUGCAUGUGUUUUUAA